AGAGUUUGAUCCUGGCUCAGGAUGAACGCUAGCGGGAGGCCUAACACAUGCAAGCCGAGCGGUAUAGAUUCUUCGGAAUCUAGAGAGCGGCGUACGGGUGCGGAACACGUGUGCAACCUACCUUUAUCAGGGGGAUAGCCUUUCGAAAGGAAGAUUAAUACCCCAUAAUAUAUUGACUGGCAUCAGUCGAUAUUGAAAACUCCGGUGGAUAGAGAUGGGCACGCGCAAGAUUAGAUAGUUGGUAGGGUAACGGCCUACCAAGUCAGUGAUCUUUAGGGGGCCUGAGAGGGUGAUCCCCCACACUGGUACUGAGACACGGACCAGACUCCUACGGGAGGCAGCAGUGAGGAAUAUUGGACAAUGGGUGAGAGCCUGAUCCAGCCAUCCCGCGUGAAGGACGACGGCCCUAUGGGUUGUAAACUUCUUUUGUAUAGGGAUAAACCUACUCUCGUGAGAGUAGCUGAAGGUACUAUACGAAUAAGCACCGGCUAACUCCGUGCCAGCAGCCGCGGUAAUACGGAGGGUGCAAGCGUUAUCCGGAUUUAUUGGGUUUAAAGGGUCCGUAGGCGGAUCUGUAAGUCAGUGGUGAAAUCUCAUAGCUUAACUAUGAAACUGCCAUUGAUACUGCAGGUCUUGAGUAAAGUAGAAGUGGCUGGAAUAAGUAGUGUAGCGGUGAAAUGCAUAGAUAUUACUUAGAACACCAAUUGCGAAGGCAGGUCACUAUGUUUUAACUGACGCUGAUGGACGAAAGCGUGGGGAGCGAACAGGAUUAGAUACCCUGGUAGUCCACGCCGUAAACGAUGCUAACUCGUUUUUGGGCUUUAGGGUUCAGAGACUAAGCGAAAGUGAUAAGUUAGCCACCUGGGGAGUACGUUCGCAAGAAUGAAACUCAAAGGAAUUGACGGGGGCCCGCACAAGCGGUGAAUUAUGUGGUUUAAUUCGAUGAUACGCGAGGAACCUUACCAAGGCUUAAAUGGGAAUUGACAGGUUUAGAAAUAGACUUUUCUUCGGACAAUUUUCAAGGUGCUGCAUGGUUGUCGUCAGCUCGUGCCGUGAGGUGUUAGGUUAAGUCCUGCAACGAGCGUAACCCCUGUCACUAGUUGCCAUCAUUCAGUUGGGGACUCUAGUGAGACUGCCUACGCAAGUAGAGAGGAAGGUGGGGAUGACGUCAAAUCAUCACGGCCCUUACGCCUUGGGCCACACACGUAAUACAAUGGCCAGUACAGAGGGCAGCUACCAGGCGACUGGAUGCGAAUCUCGAAAGCUGGUCUCAGUUCGGAUUGGAGUCUGCAACUCGACUCUAUGAAGCUGGAAUCGCUAGUAAUCGCAUAUCAGCCAUGAUGCGGUGAAUACGUUCCCGGGCCUUGUACACACCGCCCGUCAAGCCAUGGAAGUUUGGGGUACCUGAAGUCGGUGACCGUAACAGGAGCUGCCUAGGGUAAAACAAGCAACUAGGGCUAAGUCGUAACAAGGUA
rnacentral:rRNA from 1 species